CUAAAGAAGGUCUAAAUAAGUUUUGUUUUAUUAGACUAGAACACUUAAGACUACACUUCCUGUAGGGAGAAUCCAAAUCCUUUAUGGUCAGUCGUCCAAAUGUUUCUGCUUUCUGAUUCUAGGGGAGAGGUCUUUGCUUUGUAUAAAGUGAGCUCCUCUGGCUUCUUUCCUGAAACCUUCACUCUGAAACCUCUGGUAAGAGGAGAACCAGGAUAGAGGAGUGGCUGAGUAAAGAGGCACUUAGAAGAAAGAACCAAGGAGAAGAGGGCGAUGGACAGUAUCCAAGGCUGCAGAGGGAUUCCCGUUUCUAAGCCAGAUUUGCUCCUUCUGUUGAAGAGAGAAGAUGUAUGGAAUCUAGAGGGAGAAGUUUGUAUAGGCAUUUGUCCAGAUUCCAUUAUUAAAGAGACAUAGAUUGAAACCAAGGAUUCAAAUCUGAAGCAAGUCAUCUGUUUGGAAGCCUUAUCUCAUCAAAAACUGGGAAAAAAUAUAGUUUGGCAUUCCAAGAUUGUAAGGCUCAGCACCAGGGUCGGCCAGCCCUGUGUGACCUUACAUGGGGUAACGAAAAGUGAAGAGUAACGAAUGGACGCUAUAUGAAAAUGCAUAGCGACAAAGUUUAUUGGAUUUACACAAAGCAUAUAAAGGAAAAAACCACAGGAAUGUAUGACUUUACAGCCCAGCACCAGCAGGAACCAAUAAUU
rnacentral:lncRNA from 1 species